rnacentral:rRNA from 1 species
GACGAACGCUGGCGGCGUGCUUAACACAUGCAAGUCGAGCGAGAAAGCUCCUUCGGGAGCGAGUACAGCGGCGAACGGGUGAGUAACACGUGGGCAACCUGCCCUCAGGAGCGGGACAACCCGAGGAAACUCGGGCUAAUACCGCAUAAUCCGUCGUGUCUCAAGGCGCGACGGCAAAUGGUAGCUUCGGCCUCCGCCUGAGGAUGGGCCCGCGGCGCAUUAGCNGUUGGUGGGGUAAGUGGCUCACCAAGGCGACCGAUGCGUAGCUGGUCUGAGAGGACGAUCAGCCA